CAGCAGUCGCCGCGGUAAGACAGAGGAUGCGAGCGUUAACCGGAAUGACUGGGCGUAAAGCGUCCGUAGGCGGCUUUUCAAGUCCGCUGUCAAAUCCCAGGGCUCAACCCUGGACAGGCGGUGGAAACUACCAAGCUGGAGUACGGUAGGGGAAGAGAGAAUUUCCGGUGGAGCGGUGAAAUGCGUUGAGAUCGGAAAGAACACCAACGGCGAAAGCAGUCUGCUGGGCCGACACUGACACUGAGGGACGAAAGCUAGGGGAGCAAACGGGAUUAGAUACCCGCGUAGUCCCUGUCUCUUAUAC
rnacentral:rRNA from 1 species